rnacentral:lncRNA from 1 species
ACAAACAGACAACCUAUCGAUCCAAAAGGCAAUUUGGGGAAAAAUAUUUGUGCUGAAGUUGAAGAAAAAGACAACCUCGGAUUUCCUCGAUUUAGGUCGAGUCUUACUGUAUGUCUCUCUAUUGCUUAUUUUUUCUUAAAUGGGGUUUCAAAUUUCAUCUCAAUCUGAUAAGGGUUUCAAUUAUUUUUAAGAAAUAUAUAUUGAGCUGUGGAUUAAUUGUAUUUCUUUCUUAGUUUAUGAGCUCAAUUUUAUGGGUAUGCUUGUUUUGCUUUUUGGGUAUUAUUGUUGAUGCAUUUUCUCUGUAAUGUGUUAAUUACGUGAAAAACAAUUUCUUUUGGUUUAGCUCAUUUAUUGAUUGUGUGAAUUUUGGUAAAUUUCCUACUUGUUUACUGUUUAAAUUGAUCAAACAUUGCUUAUGGGUGUUUUGAGCUCAUUUCUGUAAUGGGUAUGUUCUUUUUAGUUUCCGAAAAAUUGUCAAGGUCAGAAGUUUGAUAUUGUUGAGUUUUAUUUGAUAUUGUUGCUUUCCUGUUAUUUUUAUUAUGCCGGAAAUUCUGAUGGGGGUAUGGUAUUGGUGAAUGUUUAGGUAUUGGAAAUCAAAAUGGUGGAAAAUCAGAAGUUUACUCGAGUUGAUUCCUUAGAGCUGAAAGCUGUUAUGUAUCGAAAGAUUGGGCAUCAGAGAGCGGAGAAAUACUUUGAUUUGCUCAAAAAGUUUUUUAGUUUCAAGCUUGGGAAGUAUGAUUUUGAUAAAUCUUGCAUGCGAACAAUUGGGAGGGAUAAUCUCUCUCUUCAUAAUCAGCUUAUUCGAUCCAUUCUCAAGAAUUCAUGUCUUGCUAAAGUUCCCCCACUUAGAGUUAAAAAAGUAGAAGGGUCCCUUAAUGUUAAAGUUGCAAAUGGCCAGCAGAGAAAUAGUCUUCAAUCUAUCUAUAGUGAAGCAUUUCCUCCAUCUCCUCGUAAGGGUAGGUCUCCAGUAAUUAGGGAUCGCAAAUUUCGGGACCGUCCAAGUCCUCUUGGACCACUAGGGAAGAGCCCCAAUAUUUCGUGUGAAGUUGUCACAAGGACACAAGAGCAGGAAAGUGCAACAGAAUUACAUUCUCUUGGUAGCAGACCUCCUGUUGAAGUUGCAUCUGUGGAAGAUGGGGAAGAAGUUGAACAGGCUGCUGGAAGCCCGAGCAUCCAAAGCAGAAGCCCUGUUACGGCUCCUUUGGGGAUUUCCAUGAACAUGGGUGGUGCUCGUAAAACUCUUUAUAGUGGAUCUCUAUAUAAAUUUCAUCCCUCGACGUGUGAGAAGAGUUGUGAGCUACCUGAUACUAGCUCUUUAAGGAAUCGUUUGGAGCAGAAGUUGGAGAUGGAGGGCCUCAACAUCUCUGUAGACGGUGUUAACCUUUUAAAUAAUGGUUUGGAUUGUUAUCUGAAGAGAUUAAUGGAACCUUGUAUAAGAUUAGCUGCGUCAAGGUCUGGAAAAGAGCACAUUCAACAAUUAACUGGUCAAACUCUACAUGGUUCAAAUUGGAUGUUAGCUGAGAGUGGGAGAUAUACGCAGAGGCCAUCCAACUCCAUCUAUGCCUCUAUGUUAGAUUUUUGUGUUGCAAUGGAGUCAAAUCCUCACAUACUUGGAGGAGAUUGGGCAAUACAACAGGAGAAGUUUUGCUUUCGUGCAUUUGAGGAAUGAAAAGGACCUAUAUUCAAAUAUAAUCAACAAUUUGGGACAGUGGACUCGACGAACUUGAUUACUUGAUUGCAUUAGUAGAAUGCACAUUACUGCUAAGGAUUCAUUCUUACAUGAAUCUUUUUGAGCACAUUUAUACAGUGUCCACAGUCCACAUGCAUCGUGAAGGAGAAUCGAUUCUAAAUACUCUUGGAAGCUUGGUGUUAGUGAGGUUGUAUUUUCUGUUGACAUUGAUAGUUAUUGGGGAUGGGAGUAUGUUUAUAUGGUCAGUAUACACGUUUUAAUGUUAUUCAGACCUCACUCUCUGGAAUUUAAACAUCAUUCUUCGAUUGAUACCUGUGGUCUCUCAUGUAUCAAAUUUUGCGUCAAAUAAAGCUUCAUUUAGUUCAAAUCGUCCAAGUUAAUAGGAUUGUGAAGUGUGAACUACAUUUUUUUCUCAGAUUUUUUCUCUCGAAUAAACUAUUUGUAUUGUCCUUGCAUAAUCAGUUUACUAUGUUUUUAUUAGUCGUGUGCUCCUUUUGAGGCUACCCCAGGCCCCACCCCCAUAGCUCGUGUCGCAAAUUGAACAUAACUGUAUCCCAGAAAUAUUGUUCAGCUAGCCUGUUCUGUUACCCAUGGAGCAUGUGAAAUGAACGACUCAUUUUCCCUUUCCUUUUUUUGGGGUUAAUUUUCCCUGUUAUUUCCUUUUAGUAUGUGUUCUUUUCUUUAUUGAGAUGAAAUGCCCUAUGCUUGUUUUCCUUGGGAUGAGUUAAAUAUUCCACUUUUCUUGUGUGUGCUUAUUAUAAUUGCUUGCUCUUGAUUGAAGUUGCACAUAUAAUAUGUGCGGAGUUUAUGCUUGAAGGCAUCACUGUUUUAUUACUGCUUACUUUUAAUUUGAAAACAGAAGGUGCAUCUGAUUGAGGACUUCAAUUACGCCUUAUUGGUGAAAUCUACAGCUGAGUAGUUGUUGCAAGUGGAGUAGUGGACAGAACACUAUUACAGGUCAGUUUGCUUUUGCUAUGACUUUAAGGCUUUCCAUGCUUUUACAUAUGCUGGAAGCUUCUUUUCAUCUCCAAAUUUGGAUUGGAAACAAGCCAAAUUAAAUUUUCAUCGAACUCUCCAUAAUGUUUUAUAGUACAACCUCAACAAAACCCUCCCACCUGAUGCUGAGUUCACCGCACAACAUCUCUCGCCUUGAAAUGGCCAACCUUGGCAACAAGAAACAAUUCAUCCCCUCCUCAAAUUCCCAAUCUGAAAAGGCCUCCGAAACACCGAUUGCCAUGAUACUCACCCUUAUACAAGGGUUACAUGUAUCACAAUCCACAGCAAGAACAAAUAGGUUCGGAAAUCCCUGACAGUGAACAAUUCUCUACCACGACCAACCACAUAGGAAACAUGUUUCUUGAACUCCUCACACCCAACAACAUUACCCUUCCGGUCUGAGUAAUCCACUCUCCCUGCUCUAACCCAAACUAGACACCAUCCUGCUCCACAAGCAUUCAAAAAAUAAAUUCCUCUUUACCAAAACAAGUUCUUUAUCUAUAUUUCACAAAACCCAAUACUAAAUAUAAUGCUAAAAUCAAAGAGCAAUGGACCAUGGAUAAAGUUCCAAACUUUUUUUUUCUUUCACCCCCUCUUUUCUUUUACUCUUCUUCCUGAAAUUCAUAGAUUUAAUUUAGUUAAGCAUCAAAAGAUAUCCAAGUGAAUCACCUAGUUACAAUGUCUACCACACUGUAGAAAAAAAAAAUAACAACCGCCAAACAAGUCCAAGAUUCAUGCUUUAACAAUUAUACCUUUUAAACCAAAUGCAUAUCCACAAACGCAAACAUAAAUAGCUUUCUGGAGGAAAAAUAGGCAACGGUGAAAAUAUGGGCAGACAUGAUGGUCUUAAUCAUCCCUAAAUACCACCCUAUAACCCCAUUCUUCGAGGCAGACUAUGACCUUGAAGAAAAGGGUGGGGAUAGUACAAUAUUAAACAUUAGGAACAGUAAACCCAGCUACUUUUUAUGUUUUUUGGUAAAUAGAGUGAUUAUUGGUGGAUCGUUGGAGCUUUAGUGGAGUCGGUGACUGAAUAGAACAAAUGAACAUUUCAUCAAAAAAAUUCGACUUGACUAAAAUACAGUUGGCACCCUAAACUUUACACCAUUGUUGAGGUUUGCUCCCCCAAAUUGGAAAACGUGUCUGGAUACACCCCAGACUUCACUUCUGCUAAGCAAAGAGCAUACUUUUGGCUUUAACCGGUCAAAAAUGAUUGGGAGUCGCAACAUGUGAGUUUUAUGGGGGUAAUUUGUCCUUUUAUUCCCUUCUCCUCGCAUCUUGGACAACAGAUUAAAACCCUAAUUUGGGAGUAGCAUAGUAUAGCUUGAUUGGGAGCAAAAUCCAUCAAAUUCACUCUAGAGAAAGAGGGAAAACUUGUCUCAUGGAUCGAAAAUGCUUCUGUAGGAAGAAUUCAGUUACAGAGACGGCUUGGAGAAGCUCAAACAAUACCGAAGAAGAUUUCUUGGUUGUCUGAAUUGGUGUAAAGAUGGGCACUGUGGUUGGUUAGCGGAAAGUAUGCGUUUUGUUUUGCGGAAGUGAUGUCUGGUGUGUACUUAGACACGGUUUCCAGUUUGGGGUGCAAACCUCAACAAUGGUGUAAAGUUUAGGGUACCAACUGUAUUUUAGUCUUUGAAUUUAUUCAGUCUUUUUUUUCUAUCUAUAUAGUUCUGCCAGAUUUCUUGAGAGACUUGUUGUCUCGACAAAUAGAAUUUGUUGGUAUUGCACAAAUAUCCUUGAUGAAAGUGAUCAAACACUACUCAAAGGGUUAAUCAAUAUUUAACUUCUUCUUGCAGUAAAAUCAGAAAUUUGAUGAAAAGAUGUGUAGGAGAUCUGCUUAAAGUAUUCCACUACUUAAAUGGGCAGAAUGUGAACGAACGGUGCACCCAAUCUUUUGCAGACAAGCUCAUUCAGUUUUCUUUUCCUUAUAGUGCAUGUAAAUUUGUCAAUUGGGCUAUGUAGCAAGUACAUUUAUCUCAAAAAUACAUAUAGCAUGUCCAAGCUAUUCAAAUGGGUAUCAGAUGGUAUUAAGGGUUCUUUCUAAGAAUGAAUAAGCUUUGUUUUUGUUGUUUCUAAGCAAAAAAGUAAUAAGCUCAUGGCUAAUGAACAGCAAAAACUUAUAAAUGAGAAGUAAUUUUUAGGAAAUCAAUAGGUUGAACGGUGGCAUUCGUUUUCUUAUUCGACUGAUAUUUAUGACUGUAAGGUGUUUUUGUUCUGUGAUAGGGACUAAAGGUAGAUCCCCUACAAGACCAAUUUGUGAUGGCUCAUAAUGGGUAGUUCCCAUCAAGAUGAUACUGCAGAAAAUGAGGUAGGAGAGAGCUGCCUAAACUUGUCUGUCUAUUCUCAAUGCUCACAAGACCAGCUGCAGCUGCAUAUUGAAGAUUGAAGAAAAAAGCUUCCUAAAUCUGGUGUUUCGUGUUGAGGGCAUGAUCAUGAACAUAUAUGCCUGCAGUCACCUCUGUAAUUCUACUUGGUUAGGAAAGUAGGUAUGUACAUGAAACAAAGAUUUUUUUGUCAAAAUUCUGAGUGUACUGUUCAUUAUAUGAACAAAGUUUGCUAGGUGGUUUGGUCAUAGGAAAACAAAAAACAAGAAAAGAUAAAGAAAUAUCAGACAGAUCCUAAUCUUGUGCUUUUGCUUCCUUUUCUCAUCCGGAAAAUGUGUUGAUAUGGGAAAUUAAAAGGAGUGCCGUUUCUUAUGUAAAUGACAGCAUAACGCAUGCUGAUAGUACUUGGUAUACAAAGGAAACAAAUGUUACAAACCAAGGUUCCACACUUUAGGUUGUUACAAACUUACAAUCUGCCAAGGAACACUAAAGAGUACAAGUUUAACACUGUGAUCCCCUGGAACAAUAAUUUCCCCUUGAAAGAUUGAAUUUUGUUAGCAUUUCAAGCUUAUUAAGUUACAACAACUAUAAUACAUAACACAAAGAUGAUAUUGAACUACUGCUAGUGUGAUAAGCUGCAGCAUUAGAGCCUAUGUUGAGUUCUUAGCAUCCAAAGUCAUAGGGCACCAGUCCUUUGAGCUCUGGUCCAUUAAGUCUGUUGUUCUCAAAACU